rnacentral:rRNA from 1 species
AAUACGAAGGGACCUAGCGUAGUUCGGAAUUACUGGGCUUAAAGAGUUCGUAGGUGGUUGAAAAAGUUGGUGGUGAAAUCCCAGAGCUUAACUCUGGAACUGCCAUCAAAACUUUUCAGCUAGAGUUUGAUAGAGGAAAGCAGAAUUUCUAGUGUAGAGGUGAAAUUCGUAGAUAUUAGAAAGAAUACCAAUUGCGAAGGCAGCUUUCUGGAUCAAUACUGACACUGAGGAACGAAAGCAUGGGUAGCGAAGAGGAUUAGAUACCCUCGUAGUCCAUGCCGUAAACGAUGUGUGUUAGACGUUGGAAACUUAUUUUCAGUGUCGCAGCGAAAGCGAUAAACACACCGCCUGGGGAGUACGACCGCAAGGUUAAAACUCAAAUGAAUUGACGGGGACCCGCACAAGUAGUGGAGCAUGUGGUUUAAUUCGAAGAUACGCGCAGAACCUUACCAACACUUGACAUGUUCGUCGCGACUUUAAGAGAUUAAAGUUUUCGGUUCGGCCGGACGAAACACAGGUGCUGCAUGGCUGUCGUCAGCUCGUGUCGUGAGAUGUUGGGUUAAGUCCCGCAACGAGCGCAACCCUCACUUUUAGUUGCCAUCAUUCAGUUGGGCACUCUGAAAGAACUGCCAGUGAUAAGCUGGAGGAAGGUGGGGAUGACGUCAAGUCCUCAUGGCCCUUACGUGUUGGGCUACACACGUGCUACAAUGGUAUCUACAACAGGAAGCAAGACGGCGACGUUAAGCAAAUCCUUAAAAGAUACCUCAGUUCGGAUUGCACUCUGCAACUCGAGUGCAUGAAGCUGGAAUUACUAGUAAUCGUGGAUCAGCGUGCCACGGUGAAUGCGUUCCCGGGUCUUGUACACACCGCCCGUCACACCAUGGGAGUUGGUUCUACCUUAAGGCAAGGUUUCAAACCCUUGACCACGGUAUAGUCAGC